GUGCCAGAGUGUCUCCACAUUUGACCGGCGAUGCUAAGACAAACAUGGCACAGAUUAUGUAUGGAUAACCUGCAGAUGCAUUUGCAACGAUUAAGUCAACGAAAUCACAAAGCAGCAGGCCUGAUUGCCACCACAUUAGCCUCCCUUGGGCGGGGAGUCGGGGACUAAGGGAGUGAAAUAUCGGCGAUGCCGGAUCGCGACGUAAACAGGAAAGAAGGUUGCCUUAUUUCCCAGAGGGCGGAGGGUCUGACCCAAAACAAAGAUGCCCAUGUAACCCACGCUGUAAUCCAAGGGGCGGGUGUGACAAAGACGGCAUGAAGCGAGAGUGGCUAAGAGUCCUUACCCCGUUGACAGGAUAGGCCUUCCAUCCCAGCUCGCCGAGCACGGACGUGGUAUCCAGCAGCACCACUGAAAUGAAAAAGAGGCGGCGGAAUCCCAGCGUUAUCCAUCUGUCUGCGCACAAAAGUUCCAUUUUCACACGGGAAAUUGAAAUAUCAAUCAUAAACACGCUCAUUUAGACAUUUUAUCACAACAGAAAUGAGUUUCUUGGAUGAAUAUUUAUCAGCCGUGCAAUAUAAACACGGGCAGGAACAUUGUUGCCACUUGCCACACAAUUUGGGGACUGAUAGAUUGCACCCAGAUUGCUCCUAACACUCCAUUCUCCUCCUCGCCCUCCACCGUUUAAAUCAUUUUUUUACCCGCAAAAUGUCAUUCUUCAGCGUGUGACUGAGAAAAUACCCUAGAAAAUAGAGGGGUCCAAACGAUUUGACCUGGGGGGACCCAUUGGGCUAAAAAUAUUUGGUCGAGGGCCACAAGCUAACUGCAUGUAA